UGGGGAAUAUUGCACAAUGGGCGCAAGCCUGAUGCAGCCAUGCCGCGUGUAUGAAGAAGGCCUUCGGGCUGUAAAGUACUUUCAGCGAGGAGGAAGGCGUUGUGGUUAAUAACCGCAACGAUUGACGUUACUCGCAGAAGAAGCACCGGCUAACUCCGUGCCAGCAGCCGCGGUAAUACGGAGGGUGCAAGCGUUAAUCGGAAUUACUGGGCGUAAAGCGCACGCAGGCGGUCUGUCAAGUCGGAUGUGAAAUCCCCGGGCUCAACCUGGGAACUGCAUCCGAAACUGGCAGGCUAGAGUCUUGUAGAGGGGGGUAGAAUUCCAGGUGUAGCGGUGAAAUGCGUAGAGAUCUGGAGGAAUACCGGUGGCGAAGGCGGCCCCCUGGACAAAGACUGACGCUCAGGUGCGAAAGCGUGGGGAGCAAACA
rnacentral:rRNA from 1 species